CCCAACCGUUGCUGCUACCUCGACGUGGUGGUCGGGCUUGCCUAUCGUGAUGACCAAACCGAGUUAUAUUGGCUGGAACAUAUGUUCCUGUAAGUUCUACCAUGCCAGGCAGGUCGACUGGAGGACGGUAAGACUAAAAGCAGC
rnacentral:ribozyme from 1 species